UACCGAACGAAGCGUCCCUGUCGGGUGGUGACGGUAGGUACAGAAGAAGGACCGGCCAACUACGUGCCAGCAGUCCGCGGNUAAUACGUAGGGUUCCUAGUCGUUUGUCCGGGAAAUUAUUGGGUCGUUAAAAGGGGUCUUCGUUAGGGNCGGNUUUUGNUUCGUCGNUUCGGGGGAGUUUAAAAGUCUUCCCGGAGUCCUUAAACUUCGGUAAACUGUUCAGUCUUNAUAACUNAUGUGUCUAGAGUUGUCAGAAGGGGUCAAUCGGAAUUCUUGGUGUAGCGGUGAAAUGUCGUUAGUAUAUCAAGAGGGAACACCCUGAGGUUGAAGAACGGGUUUGUCUGGGUCCUGAACAACUGAAACGUCCUGGAGGUCGUCGGAAAGUCCCAGGGGGUAGGCCACCCCCGGGCAUUAGGAAUACCCCGGGUAGGUCCUGGUCCCUAAAACGUAUGUAAUACUUUGGUGUCUGGAGUUUCAAUACUCCGGGUGCCGUCGUCUAACGUUUUUAAGUAUUCCGUCCUGGGGUAGUACGGUCGCCCACACGCACUGAAACUCAAAGGAAUUG
rnacentral:rRNA from 1 species